rnacentral:tRNA from 1 species
GCCGAAGUAGCUCAGCUGGUAGAGCAGCUGAUUUGUAAUCAGCAGGUCGUGGGUUCGAUCCCCUUCUUCGGCU